rnacentral:rRNA from 1 species
UACAGAGGUCUCAAGCGUUGUUCGGAAUCACUGGGCGUAAAGGGUGCGUAGGCUGCGCCGUAAGUCAGAUGUGAAAGCUCAGGGCUCAACCCUGAAAUUGCAUCCGAUACUGCGGUGCUAGAGAAAUGAAGGGGAGUCUAGAAUUUUCGGUGUAGCAGUGAAAUGCGUAGAUAUCGAAAGGAAUACCAAAGGCGAAGGCAGGACUCUGGGCAUUUUCUGACGCUCAUGCACGAAGGCUAGGGUAGCGAACGGG